AUGGUCAUGUGACUCAGCUUCCACUGAAGUCAAAGGGACUCUUUCCUUUGACUUCACAGAGAGUUGUAUCAAGCGCUGUUUGU